GGNCNANACNNCNNAACNGGNGUGGGNUGCANGUUCGAGGAANUCNNUUCGGGCNAAUGAGGGCGCNANGGCNUNGACCCCGANGCGAACGCCCGGCGNUGCGGNAAUGNANGGCCNNUUCGGGGUUGUUAACCCGCNUUNGNUCCGAGAGAANNGGGCAACCUUGAUCGAUCGGAGANANAAGGACGGGCUAAGUUCGUGCCAGCAGCCGCGGUAAGACGAACCGUCCAAACGUUAUUCGGAAUCACUGGGCUUAAAGGGCGCGUAGGCGGCCGAGCGGGUCGCGGGUGAAAUCCCCCAGCUUAACUGGGGAACUGCCCUCGAUACCACUGCGGCUCGAGGAAGGAAGGGGCAAUCGGAACUGUCGGUGGAGCGGUGAAAUGCGUUGAUAUCGACAGGAACGCCGGUGGCGAAAGCGGAUUGCUGGUCCUUUUCUGACGCUGAGGCGCGAAAGCCAGGGGAGCAAACGGGAUUAGAUACCCCGGUAGUCCUGGCCUUAAACGAUGAGAACUAGGUAGUGGGUCCGACCUGGGCACACUGCCGAAGCGAAAGUCUUAAGUUCUCCGCCUGGGGAGUAUGGUCGCAAGGCUGAAACUCAAAGGAAUUGCACCGGGGGCUCACACAAGCGGUGGAGCAUGUGGCUUAAUUCGAGGCUACGUCGAAGAACCUUACCCAGGCUUGACAUGAUGCGAAAGCGCCAAGUGUACCUUUGUCGGAAACGCAAGGGAACCUCGCAAGGGGGGACUUGGUANNNGGUGCUGCAUGGCUGUCGUCAGCU
rnacentral:rRNA from 1 species